rnacentral:lncRNA from 10 species
UGCGCGUAGACGAUGCGGAACUUCUGCUCCAUCUUGUGCCACUUGCUGUACCAGCUGUCCUCAUCGGUGACGAGCGGGAGGUACGGGUGCUCGGGCGAGUUGUCCUCGCUCGUGCUGCUCUCGGCGCUGUGCCGCUCCUCCUCGUCCGUCAGGUGGUAAAGAAAUUGAUGGUCCAAGAGGUUGACUGAUCUGUUCGGAGUCACAUGGCUUAUGAGUAGUCAAGCAGUUCCAGGCAUUUCUGCAGAGGUCUGAUGUGCACAGCACUGUGCUGGGCACUAGUGCUGGGAGACAGAUGCAGUGUGGUGGAGUGCGUGCCCAGGAACCGGGAAGGAGCUAUGGGAGCCAGGAGCCAGGGCAUCAGGAACAUCCCUCCCAGGACUCACUCACACCUAUUCUCCAACUCUGCCUACCUGCUCAAUUCACCUGAUGCUCUGCCAGUGGAUUGCUGAUGUCUCUACAUUGAUUCAGAUUUGCACCCACAUCUGAAAAUGGUCAGCAGGCAGGGACCCUCUGUCACCACAGGUGGAGGAAGAGGAGAUGAAAGAGCCUUGUCUGACACCC